AUGGGGGCAUGGCUAUAUGGGUAUAUCGAUCAAACAACCCCCGAGCCUUCCAAAACCAUAGUCACAAAAACCACCGAUGGGAAAGAUCAAAUCGCUCCCAAUCCUGCCUACAACCCUUGGUUAGUCCAAGAUCAACAAAUAGUGGCCUACCUGCUCCGAAACCUCUCCAAAGAAGUCCUGAUUCAGGUUGCCUCCCUAGAAACAUCCCACGGCAUAUGGUCUGCCCUCGCAAACAUGUUCGCUGCACAAUCUAGGUCUCGCAUCAACAACUGCCGCCUUGCUCUUUCCAAUGCCCAAAAGGGAACCCAGUCUGCCGCUACCUUCUUUGGCCACAUGCGA
rnacentral:rRNA from 1 species